UACAGAGGGUGCGAGCGUUAAUCGGAAUUACUGGGCGUAAAGCGCGCGUAGGCGGCUUUGCAAGUCGAUUGUGAAAUCCCCGGGCUUAACCUGGGAACUGCAUUCGAGACUGCAUUGCUAGAGUAUGGGAGAGGGAAGUGGAAUUUCCGGUGUAGCGGUGAAAUGCGUAGAUAUCGGAAGGAACAUCAGUGGCGAAAGCGACUUCCUGGACCAAUACUGACGCUCAUGUGCGAAAGCGUGGGGAGCAAACAGG
rnacentral:rRNA from 1 species